CUAGUUGAUGAUGAGGAGUUCAUCACUUACAUCGUGAGUGGUCUUCAUCCCUCUUACAAUUCAUUUGUUAUGUCCUCUUUUGCUUCAAAGGACAAGCCUAUCACCUUUGUUGAGUUUCAUGCAAAGUUAUUGUCCUUUGAGC